rnacentral:lncRNA from 1 species
UUGGGUUUGCGUCGCUUCUACAGGGAAAACGAAGUCGGUGACCAUAUUUUUUUUUAAUAUCAUCUAAUUCGUAAGACAAAGAGGAAAAACAUAUUAAUUUAAAAAAAAUUCUAUGGAGCGGUUCUCGUGAUUUAUACCAGAAACCGAAAAUUGUAGAAGAAAAAUAUAGAUUUACCCUAUAUAUUCAAUGUAAUUUAGUACCC